AAACAGAGCUGACCCCGCAUAACUGCUGUA
rnacentral:sRNA from 1 species